rnacentral:rRNA from 1 species
AUGAUUGGAUACUUCCUGGAGAUGAGGUCAAAUGAUCCAGAUUUAUAUUGGAGAAUAAAACUUGAUAACAAAGACAGAGUGGAAAACUUGUUCUGUAUAGAUGGCGCAUCGCGUAGGGCAUAGGCAAAAUACAACGACAUUAUGUUGUUCGACACAACGUACAUGACUAGUAUGUACAAGAUAUCGUGUGUGUCCUUCAUUGGCAGUAACAACCAUGGGCAAUUAAUCCAAUUCGUUUGUGGGUUUGUUCGAAAAGAACUGACUGGCAACUUUGUGUGGUUGUUUAACACAUUCUUGCAUGCAAUGGGUGGGGUUGUGCCAAAGAACUUAAUUACACAUCAAGAUUUUUUUUAUACGUCUUCACGUAUCUAUAAUUUUUUUAUUGUUUCAUGCUAUUAUAUUAUCAAUACUAUAUGCUUUAUAUACAAUUUUAUAUCAUUUUUGGGAACUAACCUAUUAACCCAGUGCCUAGUGCCAGUUGUUGUUUUCUAG